GGGACGGGUGAGUAACACGUGGAUAACCUACCUACAAGACUGGGAUAGCUUCGGGAAACCGGAGCUAAUACCGGAUAAUAUAUUGAACCGCAUGGUUCAAUAGUGAAAGACGGUUUUGCUGUCACUUAUAGAUGGAUCCGCGCCGCAUUAGCUAGUUGGUAAGGUAACGGCUUACCAAGGCAACGAUGCGUAGCCGACCUGAGAGGGUGAUCGGCCACACUGGAACUGAGACACGGGUCCAG
rnacentral:rRNA from 1 species